rfam:Selaginella moellendorffii unplaced genomic scaffold SELMOscaffold_59, whole genome shotgun sequence.
GGGUCUUGGGAUAUUUGGGGUUAAGUGUCCUUGGGUUUGAAUAAUACUAGGCUGGGUGACCUCCCGGGAAGUCCAAAUUCAAGAACUU